AAUCGAUGGGGGUGUGGUGCAGGUGAGGGACAAUCCCAGCGCCUCGCUCACUUCUUCUCUCUCCUCUCCUCCCUCUUCUCCCAAAUGCAGCAUUGGCUCCUUCCUUUUCUUCUCCAAAUCCAGUUUCAUCACGUCGCCACUGCUCUCCUUUCUCUUCUUCCACAAAUCCAGUUGUUCUCCUUCCUCUUCUUCCCCGAAUCCAAUUUCAUCGCCGCCGACGCUUUUCUUUUUUUUUUUCUUCUCCAAAUCCGAUCGCCGACGCUCUCCUUCCUCUUCUUCCCCAAAUCCAAUUUCAUCACCGCCGACGUCCUCCUUCCUCUUCUUCUAAGCAUAGGGACUGCCGGCCUGCCUCCACCAUCCUAGGGUUUGCGGGAGAAGGUUUGCUGAUGAGGGAAUUGGAAUGAAGUUUGGUGAUGAGGGAAUUGACCAAGGGUUUUUUCAGAAAGCCACUGUAAAAGAAUUUUACGCCCAUAGCGGAAAACAUCAUUGGACACGCUGGCUUCGGUUGACACAUCGGCGGGAAGGGCUCAAUUGAGGCAAGAGCCAGUUCGAACAGGCAAUACAGUUCGAAAUAUUUUGUAACCGAACUUGAAUCGGAAAAAUAUCGAACUUUGUCAAUUUCGGUUCGGAUCCGAACCGGUGGGCUGGACAGCCUGGACAAGUCUACAGAGUCUGUAGUAUUACUUUUUUCAAAACGACGCCGUACGCCGCUGUGUUUUCAAAAUCAUUGAAUUGCAGAUUUUCAUUUUUCCUCUCCGUGUCCCGACUUCCUCUCGCGGGUCGAGGCUGUGCUGCUGCGGUUUUUCUUCUGUUCGAGUGUUUCUAUUAAGUUUCUUCACCAAGUUAUCGAGAAGGAUAUAAUAGAAUUUGAACAAGUAUAAUGCCAAGAAAGGCCAGGAAGAAUACCAAAAAACGUGCAGCAAACAAUAACGACAAUGAUUGUGAAGAUGGAAUUCCAUUAAAGAGUAAAGAUGAAACCUUUGAGGAUCCUGCAGUGGAACGUCAAUGUGCUGCAAUCAGGGCCCUUCGGGAUGUUGAAGUUGAACAAUUGAGAACUAUGAUACAGCUACUCCGUUCCUCUUUCAGCAAGGAACAACAGCAAGUUCCUGUGAUGCAGUUCUUCAAAGAAAACCUUCCAAAUCUUUCUAUCAGAGAGACAGAUAAAGAUGGUCAAAUUGAAGUGAAAUGGAAAGAAGAAGAUGAAAGCCUUUAUCUUAAUCAUGCUGGUGAUGCAGGGGUGCAUCCAUCUCUUUUACGCCGACUCUCAAUGGCAUAUCCUGAUUUCUCUGCUGGACUUUCUUCCUUGGGUGGCUUUGAAUUUUCUAACAAAUCUGUGAAAACAGGGGUCUUUGGUGCUGAUAAACUGCAGAUCAGGAGUCUUGUGUUGGAGGAGCCAUCGGAGUCACAAGUAUUGCAGCUGAAGGAUGGCAUGCAAACCCCAAAUGUGAGUAACAGCAGGCUAUCAGUUGGAGUCACACCUAAAACUCUCAGGUUUCCCAAGUGUGGAGAGAUGCUUCUAUCUGUACAUGGUUCGCCACUCGGUAUCUAUAAGGACGAUAACAUGGAAACCAUCCAAGAGACAGAAGAUGGUUGAAUGCUAAGAAUGCUGCAGAAUGACGGGUCAUCACAGCUGACGCCGUCAAGACUCAGUCCAGUCCAGGAUCACUGAUACGAAACUAAGACAAAGACCUAGUCAACGCCGUUGAGGUACCGUCAGUCAGACGUUUGGUAAACGCAGCGCGCAGCUCGUCAUCAUUAUCAUCCACGAGGAGGGAUGGAGAAGUAGAUAGCGAGUGGGGGAUUAGGUGGGGUGGUGAAGUCAAUCAGCUUCCGAGAAUGGGGAAAACUUGCGGAUGGUGGCGAAUUGGCGACCGAAGGACUGUUACCUCUGAUCGGAUGAAUGGAUCUUUGACUCCUUUUUGCAGAUUGUGAUGUUGUAUUUGUUACUGACCAUAUGCUCUGUGAAUCAAUUCGUCUUCCUUGUUGUAUUGCCUCUUUCUGAUC